rnacentral:lncRNA from 1 species
UAAGAACAGAAAAGAAAAUUUCAACAACUGCAAAAGAGUUUCCCCAUCACCAAGAUUACAUAUUUUUUGUGAACACCAUAAAUGCCCAGACCUAAAGUAUAAUGUCCCCCAAAAGCUGCUGAUUCUGAAUGAUACAUACAUUUCAUUUUGCAUCCAGUCACUAAAAUUAAUUUAUUCAACUAACAUUUCAUAAAGGCCUACUCUGUUUUAGACACUGGAGAUAAGGUAGUAUAUAAGACAAACAUGACCUGCCCCUGUCUUCACCAAACUUACAGACCAGUCAGGGAGACAGUCAAUCAAGGAGUGAAAAUUAUGAUCCAGUUGGAUAAAGUGUAUUUUAUUUAACAUCUCCAUUUCCAGCCUUGCUAAGUCAGUGUUGAUAGUCAGAUAGUCAGAUUGAAAACCAUGGCCCUCAUCAGACAAUGAACAUCCCUAUGAUUUCACUAGUAAAAUCUGGCCACUUGAAUUUCAUUUAUGACUUUCAAAUAGCUCUAGCAAAGGCAUAGGAAGGCAGACAGCUAAUAUAAUAACUUAACUUAUAGAAAUGUGCUCAUAGGUUCUCUUCCCUGGUUAACCCUGCAUUUUAGCACUAGCCUUCUAAAAAGGUAAUGCCUUAAUAUAUCCUAUAAAAUUAAGGCUACUAAAUUUCAGGAACUCUGGCAAGUCUAAGAAAGAAAUUUGCAGUUAUAGAAGUCUUUGUGGCCACUUCUCACGUUAUACCACAUACACGUGGAGAUAUUGCCCAGUGAGUCCUCCAUGUUGCAGAUCUCCUACAGCCCUUUCCCUUCUCCUCCUCUUGUUAUCCAAAAGGUUUCACGGGGUAGUCAGUCACUUGCACUGUGAUAGAAUAAAAAGAAAAUUCAAAAUAUCUAUAAAUUUGGUUUCCUCCAGCAAUGGUUAAGCUUGGUUGAGAUGCUUACAAAUUUAAAAAAUGCCAGUUCCAUUGUUGCUUCAUUUUAAGGGCCCUGAGAAUAAGACCAAGCAAGCAUCGGAUAAGGAAUAUGAUUUCAGGAUCUCCAGAAGUUUCUCUUCCCUUUGUCACUCAACCAACCUCCCAAGUUCCCUCAGUAUCACAGUGCCUGAAAUUCCAUUUGGUGGUGUUUCAGAAGCUUUUUGGUAGCUCUGGUGACAACCUAUGUGAUUUGAUUGAAGGGUGGCUCAGAAAGUUCCACUUUCCUGAAACAUCUCCCUCUGGUUAAUCU